rnacentral:rRNA from 1 species
UGAACGCUAGCGACAGGCCUAACACAUGCAAGUCGAGGGGCAGCACAAGGAGCAAUCUGAGGUGGCGACCGGCGCACGGGUGAGUAACACGUAUGCAACCUGCCUGUAAGCGGGGAAUAACCCGUCGAAAGACGGACUAAUACCGCAUAAUACUAAAUUACUGCAUGGUAAUUUAUUUAAACAUUUAUGGCUUACAGAUGGGCAUGCGCAUGAUUAGCUAGUUGGAGAGGUAACGGCUCCCCAAGGCAACGAUCAUUAGGGGUUCUGAGAGGAAGGUCCCCCACACUGGUACUGAGACACGGACCAGACUCCUACGGGAGGCAGCAGUGAGGAAUAUUGGUCAAUGGACGAGAGUCUGAACCAGCCAAGUCGCGUGCAGGAAGAAUGUUCCCUAUGGAUUGUAAACUGCUUUUGCAGGGGAAUAAAGUGCAUCACGUGUGAUGUUUUGUAUGUACUCUGCGAAUAAGGAUCGGCUAACUCCGUGCCAGCCGCUGC